rnacentral:tRNA from 3 species
GGCCGGGUGGCGGAAUAGGCAGACGCACAGGACUUAAAAUCCUGUGACCCGUUAAGGGUCGUACGGGUUCGACCCCCGUCCCGGCUA